rnacentral:lncRNA from 1 species
UAAAAUUAUGAGAGGAUUCUCAAAAAAAAAAAAACAGUAAGCUUAAUGUCUAACAAUAUUACAGUAGGUGCCCUCAUCUGUAACAUGGGCAUAGUCAUCAGUAUUAUUUGAGAAGAUACCAAAAAGGACUCAAAAAGAAAAAGAAAAAAAAAAGUCAUUGGUACAAAAAUGUGGAUACGACUUCAAUAGUAUGUAUGAUGAAGUGGGCUACACGAAAA